rnacentral:rRNA from 1 species
GUGUCCUACGGGAGGCAGCAGUGGGGAAUAUUGCACAAUGGGGGGAACCCUGAUGCAGCAAUGCCGCGUGGGUGAAGAAGCACUCCGGUGCGUAAAGCCCUGUCAGCAGGGAAGAAAAUGACAGUACCUGGACAAGAAGCCCCGGCUAACUACGUGCCAGCAGCCGCGGUAAUACGUAGGGGGCGAGCGUUAUCCGGAUUUACUGGGUGUACAGGGAGCGCAGGCGGCGUGGCAAGUCAGAUGUGAAAACCCGGGGCCCAACCCCGGAGGUGCAUGUG